CAGUAGCCGCGGUAAUACGAAGGGGGCUAGCGUUGUUCGGAUUUACUGGGCGUAAAGCGCACGUAGGCGGAUGAUUAAGUCAGGGGUGAAAUCCCGAGGCUCAACCUCGGAACUGCCUUUGAUACUGGUCAUCUUGAGUCCGGGAGAGGUGAGUGGAACUGCGAGUGUAGAGGUGAAAUUCGUAGAUAUUCGCAAGAACACCAGUGGCGAAGGCGGCUCACUGGCCCGGUACUGACGCUGAGGUGCGAAAGCGUGGGGAGCAAACAGGAUUAGAUACCCCCGUAGUCCCUGUCUCUUAUAC
rnacentral:rRNA from 1 species